UAAAAAUUGUUGUGAAUACUUUAUUGCCACUUGUUGAACAUAGAAAAUGUGCAAGACAUGUUCUUACAAAUUGGUCAAAAAAUUGGAAAGGAGUUGAAAGAAGAAGAGUGUUUUGGAGGAUUGCUAAAUCCACAUUUGAAGUUAAGAUGAAAGACAAUAUAGAGACAAUGAGGAAGUUAGGACAAGAAGGUUUAGAUAAUCUUUUAUGGUACAAUUUGAAUACAUGGUGCAAGAAGUAUUUUGAAGAAUAUAGCAAAUGUGAUGUUGUGGACAACAAUAUGGUAAAAAGCUUUAAUGCUUGGAUAGUGUCUGCAAGGUAUAAAACCAUCAUUACAAUGCUCGAGGAGAUAAGAGUGAAGAUGAUGAAAAGAAUUAGUGAUUUGAGAGAGUUCUCAAACACUUGGAUCACUGAUAUAUCUCCUAUGUCUUUGAAGAUUUUGCAAGAAAACAUUCAAAAGUCUAUGCAAUGUAACUUGAUUUGGAAUGGAGAAAGAGGUUUUGAGAUUAAACACCAUGGGUUUACACACACUGUGGACAUUGCUAAUAGGAGGUGUAGUUGCAGAUCCUGGCAGCUUAGGGGAAUUCCUUGUCCUCAUGGUGUUGCUGCCCUUCAUUACAAAAACUUGGAACCAAUCCAUUAUGUGGCUGUUAUAGCAAGGUAACCUACCUUAACACAUAUGCCCAUUUUAUUCAGCCAAUGAAUAACAUGAAAAUGUGGUCAACCUCAAAUAAUCCAAUUGUAAAGCCACCAAAGAUUAGAAAGUUGCCUGAAACACCAGUUAAGGUUAAAAUAAAGGAAGCAAAUGAAAGCAGAAAAACUGGAAAGUUGAGCAAAAGAGGUGCUGUAAUGACUUGUAGCAAAUGUGGCACACAAGGACACAAUAAAAGAUGAUGUCUUACAAGAAACCAAGCUGAUCCAAGUCAAUCAACUGAACCAGUUUCUCAGGCAAGAAGUACUGGUCCAAGUCAGUCAUCUGAACCAUCUUCUCAUACACAGGCACAGGAAGAGCAACAAGAGGAAGAGCAACAACAGGAAGAGCAAGUGGCAGGAGGUGUUCCAGCUCAAUCACAUGAAAAUGUUACAAACACAGAGACUGUAAAUGGUAGAGGUAGAGGUAGAGGUACAGGUAGAGGAACAGGAUCAGAAAGAGAAAUGGCUCAAGAAAGAAAUGUGAAUGAAGGACUAAGUAGAGGAAGAGGAAUGACUCAACAUAGUCAAACUAGUUCAGAAGCAAACUACAGUAUAGGAGGCCUAGGAAGAAGGAAGAGACCAGUAGAACAUGAAGACACUAGUGGAGGACAAACAAGACCUUUUAAAAGGCCAAGAAUGGUAGGUGUUGGCAUAUACCAAGCUAAAGAUGGAUUUACAACUCUCAAUCCUGGAUUGCCAAGUAGAAGAGUCAUCAAUACUGGUACAAAAGUUACAAAGAGGGCUGAUGUUGUCACUGGUGAUAUUGGUUACACACCAGUACUGGAUUCAAAUGGAAGGGGAAGACAACUAUUACCAGUAGCAACCUAGAAAGAAUGAGGGCUGAAAAGGUUAUCCAAACUAGGUCUGUAGUUGCUGCUAAUGCUGCUAAUAGCCAAGGCCAAACAACUUCAAGUAGAAAAACUUCUGUGCCAUGGAAGUAGGGCAUUUUGAUGUUGUCUUGUUCAUUUUGACAAACAAAAUUUAACUAUGCAUAUAUUUAUGUUGUUUUUUUACUGGAAACAAACUCAAUUUUUGGUGUAACCAAACAAACUUGAAUGGUUGGAAUCAAACUCGAUUAUGAAGUCUUCUUUUUUGUCAGUUUUGUUAUUGCCUUUUUAAUUGUAAUUGACAUAUUUGUGAAGCUUCUCAAAUGGUUGCCACGAUAAUAUAGAUUAGAGAACCAAAUACAUUAACUAAUUGUUCAAAUCAUAAUAAUUUCGACAACAAAGAACAAAAAUAACUUGAACAUUCAACAAUCUUUCAAGUUACACACACCUACAACUAGCAAGAUCAAGACAAUUAGCUUCUAGGUACACACACCUAUAAUUUCAAAAAUUUGAAAGUAACUAAACAUGUUUAUGGCAAUUUUGGUUGCACACACCUACAACUUCCAUCCUUCACAUUCUUGGUUAGACUUAAACAUAGAAAACACACAAUAAUGAUCAAGACGAUUAGCUUCAAGUUACAACAUUUGCCCUUCUUUUUCUCCUUCAUCGUGACUUGGUUACUUUCAACACGACUUUCAUAAGAUGUCAAUAUUUCUUCCAACUCCUUAAUUCUCUUUGCUAAUCUCGGAAUAACAUGCUUGGAUCUUAUAUCAACUUCUUCUCGAUCCCUCCAUCUAAAGAAGUUGCACGCAUCCUCCUAAAAUACGCAAAACACAAAUUAAAGAAAAAUACAUAAACAAAAGAUCUCAAUAAAAAAAUUAGUAAACAUACACGAUAGCGUGGACAAGACCAAAAUCUUCGAGCUGGGUUAUGCUCCAACCAUGAAGUUUGCAU